ACGGUGAACCUUGGAGCUUGCUUCGAGGGGAUCAGUGGCGAACGGGUGAGUAACACGUGAGUAACCUGCCCCGGACUCUGGAAUAAGCGCUGGAAACGGCGUCUAAUACCGGAUACGAGACGCAACCGCAUGGUUAGUGUCUGGAAAGUUUUUCGGUCUGGGAUGGACUCGCGGCCUAUCAGCUUGUUGGUGAGGUAAUGGCUCACCAAGGCGACGACGGGUAGCCGGCCUGAGAGGGCGACCGGCCACACUGGGACUGAGACACGGCCCAGACUCCUACGGGAGGCAGCAGUGGGGAAUAUUGCACAAUGGGCGAAAGCCUGAUGCAGCGACGCCGCGUGAGGGAUGACGGCCUUCGGGUUGUAAACCUCUUUCAGCAGGGAAGAAGCGAAAGUGACGGUACCUGCAGAAGAAGCACCGGCUAACUACGUGCCAGCAGCCGCGGUAAUACGUAGGGUGCGAGCGUUGUCCGGAAUUAUUGGGCGUAAAGAGCUUGUAGGCGGUUUGUCGCGUCUGCUGUGAAAAUCCGGGGCUCAACCCCGGACUUGCAGUGGGUACGGGCAGACUAGAGUGUGGUAGGGGAGACUGGAAUUCCUGGUGUAGCGGUGAAAUGCGCAGAUAUCAGGAGGAACACCGAUGGCGAAGGCAGGUCUCUGGGCCACUACUGACGCUGAGAAGCGAAAGCAUGGGGAGCGAACAGGAUUAGAUACCCUGGUAGUCCAUGCCGUAAACGUUGGGCGCUAGGUGUGGGACUCAUUCCACGAGUUCCGUG
rnacentral:rRNA from 1 species